GCUCAACCGAGGAAGUGCUUCGAAAACUGGUAAACUUGAGUGCAGAAGAGGAAAGUGGAACUCCAUGUGUAGCGGUGGAAUGCGUAGAUAUAUGGAAGAACACCAGUGGCGAAGGCGGCUUUCUGGUCUGUAACUGACGCUGAGAUUCGAAAGCAUGGGUAGCAAACAGGAUUAGAUACCCUGGUAGUCCAUGCCGUAAACGAUGAGUGCUAAGUGUUGGAGGGUUUCCGCCCUUCAGUGCCGCAGCUAACGCAUUAAGCACUCCGCCUGGGGAGUACGACCGCAAGGUUGAAACUCAAAGGAAUUGACGGGGGCCCGCACAAGCGGUGGAGCAUGUGGUUUAAUUCGAAGCUACGCGAAGAACCUUACCAGGUCUUGACAUCUUCUGCCAAUCUUAGAGAUAAGACGUUCCCUUCGGGGACAGAAUGACAGGUGGUGCAUGGUUGUCGUCAGCUCGUGUCGUGAGAUGUUGGGUUAAGUCCCGCAACGAGCGCAACCCUUAUUAUCAGUUGCCAGCAUUAAGUUGGGCACUCUGGUGAGACUGCCGGUGACAAACCGGAGGAAGGUGGGGAUGACGUCAAAUCAUCAUGCCCCUUAUGACCUGGGCUACACACGUGCUACAAUGGACGGUACAACG
rnacentral:rRNA from 1 species